UACGAGAGGCCCAAACGUUAUUCGGAAUUACUGGGCUUAAAGAGUUCGUAGGCGGCUUUGCAAGUGGCGGGUGAAAUCCCUCGGCUUAACCGAGGAACUGCCUGUCAAACUGCAUGGCUUGAGACCAGGAGAGGUGAGUGGAAUUCCCAGUGUAGCGGUGAAAUGCGUAGAUAUUGGGAGGAACACCAGUGGCGAAGGCGGCUCACUGGACUGGUACUGACGCUGAUGCGCGAAAGCGUGGGGAGCAGACAGG
rnacentral:rRNA from 1 species